rnacentral:rRNA from 1 species
GAUGAACGCUGGCGGCGUGCCUAAUACAUGCAAGUCGAGCGAACGGACGAGAAGCUUGCUUCUCUGAUGUUAGCGGCGGACGGGUGAGUAACACGUGGAUAACCUACCUACAAGACUGGGAUAACUUCGGGAAACCGGAGCUAAUACCGGAUGAUAUUUUGAACCGCAUGGUUCAAAAGUGAAAGACGGUCUUGCUGUCACUUAUAGAUGGAUCCGCGCUGCAUUAGCUAGUUGGUAAGGUAACGGCUUACCAAGGCAACGAUGCAUAGCCGACCUGAGAGGGUGAUCGGCCACACUGGAACUGAGACACGGUCCAGACUCCUACGGGAGGCAGCAGUAGGGAAUCUUCCGCAAUGGGCGAAAGCCUGACGGAGCAACGCCGCGUGAGUGAUGAAGGUAUUCGGAUCGUAAAACUCUGUUAUUAGGGAAGAACAUAUGUGUAAGUAACUGUGCACAUCUUGACGGUACCUAAUCAGAAAGCCACGGCUAACUACGUG